rnacentral:rRNA from 1 species
GACGAACGCUGGCGGCGUGCUUAACACAUGCAAGUCGAACGGAAAGGCCCUGCUUUUGUGGGGUGCUCGAGUGGCGAACGGGUGAGUAACACGUGAGUAACCUGCCCUUGAAUUUGGGAUAACUUCAGGCAACAGGGGCUCAUACCCGCUAGGAGCUCCUGCUGCAUGUUGUGGGUUGGUAAGUUUCGGCGGUUGGGGAUGUACUCGAGGCUUAUCAGCUUGUUGGUGGGCUAGUGGCUUACCAAGGCUCUGACGGGUAGCCGGCCUGAGAGGACGACCGGCCACAUGGGGACUGAGAUACGGCCCAGACGCUUACGGGCGGCAGCAGUGGGGAGUAUUGCACAAUGGGCGGACGCCUGAUGCAGCAACGCCCCGUGCGGGAUGACGGCCUUCUGGUGGUAAACCGCUUUGGCCUGUGACGAAGCGUGAGUGACGGUAAUGGGUAAAGAAGCACCGGCUAACUACGUG